AGCUCCAAUAGCGUAUAUUAAAGUUGUUGCGGUAAAAAAGCUCGUAGUUGGAUUUCUGUUGGGGGGACCGGUCUGUGCCACGCACAUGCAUCUGGCUCCGCCUCGGCAUCCUCUCGAUUUGGAUUCCUGUGCUUGAUUGCAUGGGGUUUGUAUCGGGACUUUUACUUUGAGGAAAUUAGAGUGUUCACGGCAGGCUAUCGCCAGAAUACAUUAGCAUGGAAUAAUACUAUAGGAUCUCGAUUCUAUUUUGUUGGUUUCUAGAAGCGAGAUAAUGAUUAAUAGGGACAAUUGGGGGGCAUUCGUAUCAACACGUCAGAGGUGGAAUUCUUGGAUUGUGUUGCGACGA
rnacentral:rRNA from 1 species